AGCAGUCGCCACGGUAAAACGUAGGUGGCAAGCGUUGUCCGGAAUUAUUGGGCGUAAAGGGCUCGCAGGCGGUUUCUUAAGUCUGAUGUGAAAGCCCCCGGCUCAACCGGGGAGGGUCAUUGGAAACUGGGAAACUUGAGUGCAGAAGAGGAGAGUGGAAUUCCACGUGUAGCGGUGAAAUGCGUAGAGAUGUGGAGGAACACCAGUGGCGAAGGCGACUCUCUGGUCUGUAACUGACGCUGAGGAGCGAAAGCGUGGGGAGCGAACAGAAUUAGAUACCCGAGUAGUCCCUGUCUCUUAUAC
rnacentral:rRNA from 1 species